rnacentral:rRNA from 1 species
AUACGGAGGACGCGAGCGUUAUUCGGAUUCAUUGGGUUUAAAGGGUGCGCAGGCGGCCGUGCAAGUCAGCGGUGAAAGCCCGGGGCUCAACCCCGGAAGUGCCGUUGAUACUGCAUGGCUGGAAUGCGGUCGAGGCGGGCGGGACGGGGCGUGGAGCGGUGAAAUGCGUAGAUAUGCCGCAGAACGCGGAGAGCGGAGGCAGCUCGCCAGGCCUGCAUUGACGCUCGGGCACGAAAGCGGGGGGAUCGAACAGGAUUAGAUACCCUGGUAGUCCACGCCGUAAACGAUGGGCGCUCGUCGUCGGCGGCAGACAGUCGGCGGCCAAGCGAAAGCGAUAAGCGCCCCACCUGGGGAGUACGGUCGCAAGGCUGAAACUCAAAUGAAUUGACGGGG